ensembl:lncRNA
GAUUUACACAAGCUUCAGUCUGGAUCCAGAACACCUGAGAAUAGAUGAUGCCAACCCCUCAGAGGACCUCAGAUGAUGCUAACCCUGAAACAACAUACAAAACUACCACAUUUGGCUAUAAGUUUGAUUGCAUAAUUGCUGUUAAUAGUGUUAAUCGUCUGUUUGUUUACGUCUUUAAUUGAUUUUUCUGAAUAUUUCUGCCGUACGCACAUAAACUGACAGUCACCAUUGAUAAGCUACUACUAAAUAUUGUAAAAACUAUUGAUAAGCUACUACUAAAUAUUGUAGAAACUUAAUUUUCUGUAAAGUUGCUUUGCAAUGAUUUUAAACUUGAGUUUAAUUGAAUUGAAUACUGAAGACUACAAUUAUUUGAUAAAAAAUGCAUUAAAAACAGAGAUAUUGUAAAGUAUUUGUAUGUAUAAGUUUGUAUGUAAAUGAUGUCUGCUAUGAUCAGCUGCCAAGGUGUUGAAUAUUGAGUUGAUAUGUAAAUUUGGGUGGGUCAUAUGUUAAUGAGCCCAUUUGUGAUGUAAUGAUCAUGAUGAGGACAGUGGAAGAAAAUAAUUUCUGUGAAUAAUGAUUCAAAUUUUGAUCUUUUUCUCCAGAGCUACUGAAUGCUUUCAGAAAUGGACUACUUCUGUCACUUUUAUAGUAAUAUAGUUUGUGUGUGUGUGUGGCUAUUUUGGACCUUUUAGUUUCAAUAGCCUAUGUAGAAAGAGAGGCAGAAAAUUCAGUGUUCUGCCGUUUCACACAGCUUUGCUUUAGUGUGUUGGUAUGAAUUGGGGGAUAUGCAUCUGAGGGAUCCCCAGAGCCAAAUCCAAACAUCUGUCUGUUUCACCUCUGCAUCGCUUGAAAUGUGUUGGAAUGUGGAAUCUGAUCAAACUUGCUGUGAGUGUGGAAGAGACAGAAAGUUCAUACAUGGGGAGUCAUGCAUAUCUUCAUCUAGAAGAGAGUUCAGAUCUCUGAGUCAUCAAAACGGAGCGCCAGCAUUGUGAUUGAACUGAACAAAAACAGGAUUCUGGGCGUAUAUCCAAAGGGCGGGGAAAAUACAGAAGACAGGGAGAGCAAGUUCCUUUCAAACAAUAAUCUGCGCGGGAAAGAGAGGACAAGAGACAUGGGGGAUGGGUCUGUGAGUCUUUUAUCUCAAGUUUCCCACAUCCUGCCGCCUAGUUUAAAACCGGCCACCCAAUUUGAAAGAAUGCCUGGUAUGCACCUCAUUUCCAUAGUGCCCCGCAUUGUUCUCUAUUUAAAUAAAGACUGUUGCCCGCCAAUAGGAGAAACA